rnacentral:snRNA from 1 species
GUGUCACUUCGGCAGCACAUAUACUAAAAUUGGAACCAUAUAGAGAAAAUUAACAUGGCCCCUGGGCAAGGAUAACAUGUAAAUCCAUGAAGCGUUCCAUAUUUUU